rnacentral:rRNA from 1 species
GAUCUGGUUCAGGAUGAACGCUAGCUACAGGCUUAACACAUGCAAGUCGAGGGGCAGCAUAUCGGUAGCUUGCUACUGAUGAUGGCGACCGGCGCACGGGUGAGUAACGCGUAUCCAACCUUCCCCUUAGUAGGGCAUAGCCCGGCGAAAGUCGGAUUAAUACCCUAUGUUAUCCAGCGAUGGCAUCUGAAUUGGAUUAAAGGUUUACCGCUAAGGGAUGGGGAUGCGUCUGAUUAGGUUGUUGGCGGGGUAACGGCCCACCAAGCCAUCGAUCAGUAGGGGUUCUGAGAGGAAGGUCCCCCACAUUGGAACUGAGACACGGUCCAAACUCCUACGGGAGGCAGCAGUGAGGAAUAUUGGUCAAUGGGCGAGAGCCUGAACCAGCCAAGUAGCGUGCAGGAAGACGGCCCUAUGGGUUGUAAACUGCUUUUAUACAGGGAUAAAGUCGGGGACGUGUCCCCGUUUGCAGGUACUGUAUGAAUAAGGACCGGCUAAUUCCGUGCCAGCCGCUGC